rnacentral:rRNA from 1 species
AAGACCUUGCGCUCUUGGAGCGGCCGAUGCCUGAUUAGCUUGUUGGUAAGGUAAAAGCUUACCAAGGCUUCGAUCAGUAGCUGGUCUGAGAGGACGACCAGCCACACUGGGACUGAGACACGGCCCAGACUCCUACGGGAGGCAGCAGUGGGGAAUUUUGGACAAUGGGCGCAAGCCUGAUCCAGCCAUGCCGCGUGAGUGAAGAAGGCCUUCGGGUUGUAAAGCUCUUUCAGUCGGGAAGAAAAGGUUGCGACUAAUAAUCGCAAUUCAUGACGGUACCGGAAGAAGAAGCACCGGCUAACUACGUGCCAGCAGCCGCGGUAAUACGUAGGGUGCGAGCGUUAAUCGGAAUUACUGGGCGUAAAGGGUGCGCAGGCGGUUUUGUAAGUCAGAUGUGAAAUCCCCGGGCUUAACCUGGGAACU